CCCAGAAAGGCUUCAGGAUGUUACUUCAUUGCAAGAACUCAGGAUUUUAAGUUGCUAUAAUCUAGUGGCUUUGCCUGAAUGGAUAAGGAACUUCUCAUUGCUUCAAGAACUUGAAAUUUCAGAUUGCUCUAGCCUACAACCACUACCUGAAGGGAUACGUGAGCUUGCCUCUUUACAGAAACUGAAGAUUGUCAAUGGUCCCAGCUUCUGCAGGCAAG
rnacentral:misc_RNA from 1 species